GUGCCAGCAGCCGCGGUAAUACGUAGGGGGCGAGCGUUACCCGGAAUUACUGGGCGUAAAGGGGGCGUAGGCGGCCCGGCAAGUCAAGUGUGAAAUCCGGCGGCUCAACCGCUGGGCUGCGCUUGAAACUGCCAAACUUGAGGCCAGUAGAGGGAGACGGAAUUGCCGGUGUAGGGGUGAAAUCCGUAGAUAUCGGCAAGAACGCCGGUGGGGAAGCCGGUCUCCUGGGCUGAGCCUGACGCUGAGGCCCGAAAGCUAGGGGAGCGAACGGGAUUAGAUACCCCGGUAGUCCUAGCCGUAAACGAUGCUCACUAGGUGUGGGGCGCACAUGCGCUCUGUGCUGAAGCUAACGCGUUAAGUGAGCCGCCUGGGGAGUAUGCCCGCAAGGGUGAAACUCAAAGGAAUUGGCGGGG
rnacentral:rRNA from 1 species